CAUGCAAGUCGAACGGCAGCACGGAGAGCUUGCUCUCUGGUGGCGAGUGGCGAACGGGUGAGUAAUAUAUCGGAACGUGUCCAAUAAUGGGGGAUAACGAGUCGAAAGAUUCGCUAAUACCGCAUACGCCCUACGGGGGAAAGCAGGGGAUCGUAAGACCUUGCGUUAAUGGAGCGGCCGAUAUCUGAUUAGCUUGUUGGUGAGGUAAAGGCUCACCAAGGCGACGAUCAGUAGCUGGUUUGAGAGAACGACCAGCCACACUGGAACUGAGACACGGCCCAGACUCCUACGGGAGGCAGCAGUGGGGAAUCUUGCGCAAUGGGCGAAAGCCUGACGCAGCAACGCCGCGUGCGGGAAGAAGGCUUUCGGGCUGUAAACCGCUUUCAGUAGGAACGAAACUGACGGUACCUACAGAAGAAGGAGCGGCCAACUAUGUGCCAGCAGCCGCGGUGACACAUAGGCUCCAAGCGUUGUCCGGAUUUAUUGGGCGUAAAGAGCUCGUAGGCGGUUGAGUAAGUCGGGUGUGAAAACUUUGGGCUUAACCCAAAGAUGCCACUCGAUACUGUUCAACUUGAGUUUGGUAGGGGAGUGGGGAAUUCCUUGUGUAGCGGUGAAAUGCGCAGAUAUAAGGAGGAACACCGGUGGCGAAGGCGCCACUCUGGGCCAAUACUGACGCUGAGGAGCGAAAGCGUGGGGAGCAAACAGGAUUAGAUACC
rnacentral:rRNA from 1 species